AAGCUCGUAGUUGAAUUUCGGGAUUAGUACGUCGGUCGUGCCUUAGGUACGUACUGGUGUUACUGGUUCCUACCUUCUGACGAACCAUCAUGUCAUUAAUUUGGUGUGGUGGGGAAUCAGGACAGUUACUUUGAAAAAAUUAGAGUGUUUAAAGCAGGCUCGCGCUUGAAUACAUUAGCAUGGAAUAAUGAAAUAGGACGUUGAUCCUAUUUUGCUGGUUUCUAGGAUUGACGUAAUGAUUAAUAGGGAUAGUUGGG
rnacentral:rRNA from 1 species